rnacentral:rRNA from 1 species
AAUGAACGCUGGCGGCGUGCUUUACACAUGCAAGUCGAGCGAGGCCAGGUAGCAAUACCUGAGUCGAGCGGCGAACGGGUGAGUAACGCGUGGAUUAUCUGCCCUGAGGUGGGGGAUAACCCGGGGAAACUCGGGCUAAUACCGCAUAUGACCGUGAGGUCGAAAGGGGGUCGGCAAGAUCUCCCGCCAUAGGAGGAGUCCGCGUUCGAUUAGCUAGUUGGUAGGGUAAUGGCCACCAAGGCGACGAUCGAUAGCCGGCCUGAGAGGGUGAUCGGCCACACUGGAACUGAGACACGGUCCAGACUCCUACGGGAGGCAGCAGUGGGGAAUUUUGGGCAAUGGCCGCAAGGCUGACCCAGC